UCUCUUGUGUUAAGGUGCAUCUAGUGCAGUUAGUGAAGCAGCUUAGAAUCUACUGCCCUAAAUGCCCCUUCUGGCACAGGCUG
ensembl:miRNA